rnacentral:rRNA from 1 species
CCUACGGGGGGCAGCAGUGAGGAAUAUUGGUCAAUGGGCGUAAGCCUGAACCAGCCAAGUCGCGUGAGGGAUGAAGGUUCUAUGGAUCGUAAACUUCUUUUAUAAGGGAAUAAAGUGCGGGACGUGUCCCGUUUUGUAUGUACCUUAUGAAUAAGGAUCGGCUAACUCCGUGCCAGCAGCCGCGGUAAUACGGAGGAUCCGAGCGUUAUCCGGAUUUAUUGGGUUUAAAGGGUGCGUAGGCGGCCUUUUAAGUCAGCUGUGAAAGUCUGUGGCGCAACCAUAGAAUUGCAGUUGAAACUGGGAGGCUUGAGUAUGUUAGAGGAGGGCGGAAGGCGUGGUGUAGCGGUGAAAUGCUUAGAUAUAACGAAGAACCCCGAUUGCGAAGGCAGCCUGCUAAGCCAUGACUGACGCUGAUGCACGAAAGCGUGGGGAUCAAACAGGAUUAGAUACCCCUGUAGUC